rnacentral:rRNA from 1 species
CUACGGGGUGCUGCAGUGAGGAAUUUUGCGCAAUGGGGGAAACCCUGACGCAGCAACGCCGCGUGAGUGAAGAAGGCCUUUGGGUCGUAAAGCUCUGUCAACAGGGAAGAAAUUAUAAUUAUUUAAUAGAUAAUUGUAUUGACGGUACCUGUGGAGGAAGCGCCGGCUAACUCCGUGCCAGCAGCCGCGGUAAUACGGGGGGCGCAAGCGUUAUUCGGAAUUAUUGGGCGUAAAGGGCGCGCAGGCGGUCUUGUCCGUCAGGUGUGAAAGCUCGGGGCUCAACCCCGGAAGUGCACUUGAAACAGCAAGACUUGAAUACGGGAGAGGAGAGAGGAAUUCCUGGUGUAGAGGUGAAAUUCGUAGAUAUCAGGAGGAACACCGAUGGCGAAGGCAUCUCUCUGGACCGAUAUUGACGCUGAGGCGCGAAGGCGUGGGUAGCGAACGGGAUUAGAUACCCGCGUAGUC